rnacentral:pre_miRNA from 1 species
UGUAAAAAAAUUCUAUCUAUUUGUAUUGUUAAAAACGAGCAUGCUUGACGGAAUAACCAGAUAAUGACACGUGGUGUGCCACAGGUACAUCAUGUUGACGUAAAAAAACCAAUUUGUAAUAGUAGAACUAGAUGAAAUUUUUAAUA